ensembl:lncRNA
AUGAAUUCGUUAUGGAGAGAGGAUCUCUCUCCGCAGAGAGAGUCCAUCUCCCUGCGGAGAGAGGAAAUCUGUCUGAACCCCUGCAUGUUGCCCCUGGUGUGUCUACUAGAUGGCGCCAUUGCAUCACAAAUAAACCAGCUGGGCUUACACAGCUCCGCUGCGACUCGGGUGGGAACACUCGCGAGUCACGAAUGGGCUUGGCAAACUGUCUCGGCUCCCGAGUGGGUGAUGCGUAUUAUAAUGCAGGGAUACAGACUGCAGUUUGCAAUGAAACCCCCGCAUUUCAACGGCGUUCUCUCUUCACACAUGGAGGAGAACGCCUCACACAUUUUAUUCUCAUUAUUUCCUGGUCCCAAAAAAGGACGGCUCUCUCCGCCCUAUCUUGGACCUUCGUGUGUUGAACAAACAUUUGAGGAAAUACAAUUUCAGAAUGCUGACUCAUGGCUCCCUCACCCGCGCCAUAAAACAGAACGACUGGUUCACAUCGGUCGACCUGAAAGAAGCUUUUUUCCGUAUAAGCAUUUAUCCACCACACAGGAAGUUUCUUUGUUUCGCCUACCAAGGCACAUGUUACGAAUUCACAGUUCUGCCGUUUGGGCUCAGUCUAAGCCCCCAGUGUUUCUGUCUGUGUACGGAGGCGGGCUUAGCACCCAUGAGAAUGUCAGGUCUGAGGAUUCUGACAUACAUAGACGAUUGGCUCAUCAUAGCCGAAUCGAAAGAGAAAGUGUUGCAGGACACCUGCCGUGUGCUCACGCACAUCACAUCUCUCGGGUUCAGAGUGAAUGUGAGCAAGAGCAAUUUUACACCCAGUCAGAAUGUCAUUUUCCUGGGUUUGGAGUUGAACUCAGUCUCCAUGCGAGCGCGUCUCUCUCAAGAGCGCGUUCUCUCUCUAAUGAACUGUCUGUCGCAGUUCAGAGAGGGGGCGAAAGUACAAUAUCGCACUUUAUCUAUCCAGGUUGUACCGCUAGGACUCCUGAGAAUGAGAGCGUUCAUGAAAUGGGUUUUGUUACUACAUUUCAGCCCGACGUGCGAUCUUUGCCGCGCUGUAAUAGUAACGCGUGCCUGCUCGGCAGCCUUGCGCCACUGGAAGAGCGCAGACUUUUACGCACAGGGAACCCCUCUGGGGAUGGUUAUGAUGCGGAAAGUUGUGACGACAGAUGCGGGAGGAGGGCAGAAUUGUGA